CGUAGGGUGCGAGCGUUAAUCGGAAUUACUGGGCGUAAAGCGUGCGCAGGCGGUUUAGUAAGACAGGCGUGAAGUCCCCGGGCUCAACCUGGGAACUGCGCUUGUGACUGCUAAGCUAGAGUACGGCAGAGGGGGUGGAAUUCCACGUGUAGCAGUGAAAUGCGUAGAGAUGUGGAGGAACACCAAUGGCGAAGGCAGCCCCCUGGGUCGAUACUGACGCUCAUGCACGAAAGCGUGGGUAGCAAACAGGAUUAGAUACCCUGGUAGUCCACGCCCUAAACGAUGUCAACUAGGUGUUGGGAGGGUAAAACCUUUUAGUACCGGAGCUAACGCGUGAAGUUGACCGCCUGGGGAGUACGGCCGCAAGGUUA
rnacentral:rRNA from 1 species